AUUUGCGCAGCAUAGGUGGGAGGCAUUGAGUUUAUUCUUGCGGGAAUUUAGGAGCCAUCAGUGAGAUACCACUCUGGUAAUGUUAGAUUUCUAACUUUGUAUCAUGAUCUGGUCAAAGAACAGUUUCAGGCGGGCAGUUUGACUGGGGCGGUCGCCUCCCAAAUGGUAACGGAGGCGUACAAAGGUUUCCUCUGAACGUGUAGAAAUCGUAUCUAGAGUGUAAAGGCAUAAGGAAGCUUGACUGUGAGACCUACAAGUCGAGCAGGGACGGAAGUCGGUCUUAGUGAUCUGACGGUGCUGAGUGGAAAGGCCGUCACUCAACGGAUAAAAGUUACUCUAGGGAUAACAGGCUGAA
rnacentral:rRNA from 1 species